rnacentral:lncRNA from 1 species
GCUGGAGAUCUCCAGACUGACUCCUGGGCUUUAGGCUCAUCUCGUUGCCCCACUGUUGAAAUGGUCAACUCAAGUUGCCUACUCAGUUGACUAUCUGGUACUGGUUCUGGACUUGUCUCUACAGCAUCCAGGGUUUUACACCUUGCCUGGGCAGCUGACCCGGACUCUGAAGCUCAACACAACUCCAAGCACAUGGCUUGACCCAACAACUGCAGACUGGCAGAGCCACAGUUCACAGCAAUGGCACGGACACAAUGGAAUCCUUAGAAGCCAUCUCUCACUGAAGAAUCAAAGCUCUCCAGCUUAUGCCUCAAUGAACAUCGACUUCCUCUGACUGGUGAGCAGCUUUUGGCUGGAUGUCCAAAGGACAACAAGGCACCUCAGGCCACAGCUCUUUAGUAAGCUACAAAGGACCACUGAAGAGAUUCUUUGGAUGUGUGCUAUUGUGGGAAGCACCGAGGUGAGACGACAAGAGCAUCCACUCAGGAAAGAGGAAGAAGCCAGGGAUACAUGGCUUGAGCAACGCAGUGUCAGCAGUUCAAGGUUCAGAACAACACUAAGAAGCAAUGGUGACUGCUAGAGGGAGCAGUGGAAAUACUGCCAAGUGCUACGAGCAGGGGCGGCUGUGCACAGAGGGAAUAAGCCGAGACAUCGUGAGGCUAGUUCCUGACAGUUCGAGACUCACACACGUCUAACCACUAUACAACAUAGCAUCAGGACUAAAAGGCAUACCAGGAGAAACCGCCAGCUUCUGACUGCCCCAUGGUUUGUCUACAACCUCAGAGGUGUCAUCCUAUCCUUCCUGCACAGGUCCUAGGAGGCCCCUUUGUCACCUGGAACUGUAUACCCACUCCCUACUAUUGCUACCGGCACUUGCACAACAGCACUGAGCGCUGGGUUCUGUGGGAAGAGACCCUUUCUAUGACUGGUUGGUUGCAGGUUUUACAUCACAUGAGGUGCUGAGGUCAAUCAAGGUCGGCAGUUGUGACCUCCAGGUCACUGCAAAGGUCUCAGCAUCCUUUCUCUUCCCAUUUGCAACCACCCUGAGUGACUUGAGGCUGAGAGAAUGGAGACCUAACGUAUGGCUACAAUUAGAGCAUUUCAAAAGGACUGCUUUAAAAGACCAGGUUU